UACGUAGGGUGCGAGCGUUAAUCGGAUUUACUGGGCGUAAAGCGUGCGCAGGCGGCCCGUUAAGACAGGUGUGAAAUCCCUGGGCUCAACCUAGGAAUUGCGCUUGUGACUGGCGGGCUCGAGUACGGUAGAGGGGGGUGGAAUUCCUGGUGUAGCAGUGAAAUGCGUAGAGAUCAGGGGGAACACCGAUGGCGAAGGCAGCCCCCUGGGCCUGUACUGACGCUCAUGCACGAAAGCGUGGGGAGCAAACAGGAUUAGAUA
rnacentral:rRNA from 1 species